UACGAAGGGGGCUAGCGUUGCUCGGAAUCACUGGGCGUAAAGGGCUCGUAGGCGGCCAACUAAGUCAUACGUGAAAUCCCUCGGCUUAACCGGGGAACUGCGUCUGAUACUGGAUGGCUUGAGUUCGGGAGAGGGAUGCGGAAUUCCAGGUGUAGCGGUGAAAUGCGUAGAUAUCUGGAGGAACACCGGUGGCGAAGGCGGCAUCCUGGACCGAUACUGACGCUGAGGAGCGAAAGCCAGGGAGCAAAGCGGG
rnacentral:rRNA from 1 species